rnacentral:rRNA from 1 species
GCACCUCGAUGUCGGCUCAUCACAUCCUGGGGCUGUAGUAGGUCCCAAGGGUUGGGCUGUUCGCCCAUUAAAGUGGUACGCGAGCUGGGUUCAGAACGUCGUGAGACAGUUCGGUCCCUAUCCGUCGCAGGCGUAGGAAAUUUGAGAAGACCUGUCCUUAGUACGAGAGGACCGGGAUGGACGUACCUCUGGUGUACCAGUUGUUCUGCCAAGGGCAUGGCUGGGUAGCUAUGUACGGAAUGGAUAAGCGCUGAAAGCAUCUAAGCGCGAAGCCAACUUCAAGAUAAGAUUUCCCACCGUAAGGGUAAGACCCCAGAAAGACUAUCUGGUUGAUAGGUCGAAGGUGUAAGUGCAGCAAUGUAUUUAGCUUAUCGAUACUAAUAGGUCGAGGACUUGACCAAU